rnacentral:rRNA from 1 species
GCCUAACACAUGCAAGUCGAACGGAGAAAUUCAAUAAGUUUACUUAGAGAAGUUUUUAGUGGCGGACGGGUGAGUAACGCGUGGGUAACCUGCCCAUAAAGCCGGGACAACCCUUGGAAACGAGGGCUAAUACCGGAUAAUCUUAGAUGUUGGCAUCAACGUUUAAGGAAAGGUGGCCUCUGUAGAUGCGUUACGAUUAUGGAUGGACCCGCGUCUGAUUAGCUAGUUGGUGGGAUAAAGGCCUACCAAGGCGACGAUCAGUAGCCGGCCUGAGAGGGUGAACGGCGACACUGGGACUGAGACACGGNCCAGACUCCUACGGGAGGCAGCAGUGGGGAAUCUUCCGCAAUGGACGAAAGUCUGACGGAGCAACGCCGCGUGUAUGAUGAAGGUCUUCGGAUUGUAAAGUACUGUCUUUGGGGAAGAAUGACUGAUUUGAAAAUAUUGAGUCAGUAUGACGGUACCCAAGGAGGAAGCCCCGGCUAACUACGUGCCAGCAGCCGCGGUAAUACGUAGGGGGCGAGCGUUGUCCGGAAUUAUUGGGCGUAAAGGGCGCGUAGGCGGAUUUUUAAGUCUGGUGUGAAAGAUCAGGGCUCAACCCUGAGAGUGCAUCGGAAACUGGAGAUCUUGAGGACAGGAGAGGAAAGUGGAAUUCCACGUGUAGCGGUGAAAUCGCUAGAUAUCUGGAGGAACACCAGUGGCGAAGGCGACUUUCUGGACUGUAACUGACGCUGAGGCNCGAAAGCGUGGGGAGCAAACAGGAUUAGAUACCCUGGUAGUCCANGCUGUAAACGAUGAGUGCUAGGUGUAGAGGGNAUCGACCCCUUCUGUGCCGCAGUUAACACAAUAAGCACUCCGCCUGGGG